rnacentral:lncRNA from 1 species
AUACAUUGAAGGAACAACAAUUUUGGAAAACUGAGUUAUCUAUUCAGCAUCAUUUUUACAAAGGUACUUUGAAAAAUGUUUAAUUCAAUGAUAAAGAGCCUGCCCAAGAGUUUAAAAUACAAUAAAAACAAGAACGUACAUCAAUUGUUGAUCCCAUCUGAUGGCAGUCUGUCCUUGAGCAUAUAGCUAAAAGGAUUUUCUCUGUAUCAAGUGGCACAACUACGGUGGACAUUCUGGAAACCAGGACUCUCAUGUCUUCUGCUAGCAUGUCAAAAACUGUGAAGAGUCUGAAAUUUUACUCUACUUGCAAG